UAUAUAUUUUCUUUUAUUAUAUCAAAUAUACAUAUUAUAUAAUUAUUAUAUAAAAAUGAUACAACGUGUUGUUUUAAAGGAAACAUUCCUCAAAGGGUUAAAAUAAUAAAUUUUAUAUUACAAUUCGAAAUAUAAUUACUUCGAUAAUGAUGCGUACACAGUUUCUCAUGGAAGUAUUCGUAUACUUGCAGGAAUUUUUUGUGAAUGUAUCACCUGUGUUGUAUAAAAUAUUUAGUGAUUUCAUCAACACUGUUGUAAUACCAUGGUUACAAGACAUUUCAUGCAACUAUAUUUUGCAGAUGUCACAAAAUUAUUUAAACAGUCAAUUAUCCAUUAUAUUAAUAAACCUCAGUAUUCAGUUGAAUCAUCUUUAACCCAUAUUGUACGCUUUAGUCAGCUGUCUACUAAUUUCUUAAUUAACAAUUUCACUAAAUAUAUGUUCCCAAUGAAUAUCUUGCGAUUUAUAUACACCUUUUUAAAUUGGUUUCAAAUUCUAUCAAUAUAAUCGUGACAGUUGUAUAUCACUACAGUGUUAAUGAAAUUUUAAGAUAUUACGUAUAACAUUAUACGCAAUGUUCUUCCUUGAUCUAUGAACAUAAUUAUACAUAAAAGUUCUCCCAAGUCUUCAUCAGCUUCACUUUCGUGAGCCACCGUGGAUUCUUUCCGAUAACGAAAGAUGGAAAAAAAGAUAAAAGGAUGCGCAGGUUUUCUUCCGGAAAAAGAACAAACGAAAUUCGGUCGCCAAAGCGCAAAGCUCUAAGUGACUUUUGCCAAAGACAUUCUGUCCUUUCGGGGGGAUUUUAUUGUCCUUCACAUACUUGACGUCCUUCGCAAAGUUCCUUCGUGUUAUAUUAUAUGUAUCGGCAAAGCUCUUUGGUAGACGUUUCUCCCGUUGAAAUUUCCAAAGAAGGAAUCCGCAGGAACGUGUUCUUUUUCUCUGCAAAUGUAGUUGGCUGAAGAAGAAGAAAAAGAAAAAGAAAAAAAAGAAAGAAGAAAAUACGGUUGACCAUAUUGAUGUUCGAAAAGAGAAGUUUAUGAAAGAUUUCAAAGCUCCUUUCGUCUAUAUGAAAAGAAAAAUAUAAACGUCUCUUCUCUAUUUUCCACGAUGGGUACGAGUCUCUUAUUAAAACUAAUACCGUUUGAAAAAAAAGGAAGGCAUUAUUUUAUACAUCGAUGAUAAUGGUAGCAAUUUACGAACGUUUUGCCGUUUCAAUGAUUUUUUUUUUUUUUUUAUUAACUUUUGGAUGACGAAAGCUGGAUUAACUCUGAUUUUAUUUCACGUUUGUUAUAUUUUAAAUUACAAGGCUAUUUCUAUUGGGACACUUGCCAAUAUUUAGAGAACUUAAUAUAUAGCUUAAAUAUCUUCAUUGAUUUUAGAUGCUAGUUAAUGUUUAGUUAAUAUAACAUUAAUAUUAAUGCUAGUAGUAAUUGUUAAUUGGAAGUGGAUGAAAAUACUUGAAUUAAAUGAUGUUAAGUGUGUUAGAAUCAUAUAGCGAUUGAAAUGUGUAUGUUUAAUCAUAUUCUCUAUAGAGAAAUUUGUACGAGCAAAUUUCAAAUUUUUGGUAGUUUUGGCAGGAGAUAGAGAAAUUAACAGUAGAGAUCCUCUAUAAUAUAAAUUACAAUAUAAUAUUAGUCUUUUGAUCGAAUUGUACCAAGUGUCCAAAUACUUAAUAGAUCAAUUCAAUUUAAUUAUAAUUUAAUUUCACAUAUUGUUAUCACAUCUGUAUGAACAAUUUCGUACUUUUCAUACUAAAUUUGACGUACGGAGGGCCUUUUCAGUUUGUCACACAAUUACAUAUUCGACGCCGGUGAUUAAUAAUCCAGCUUCCAUUAGACGAGAUUUGAAAAGAAAAUUCGUCCCGAACUCGCACCGAAUGACUUCCAAUAAACUUUCCGUCUAUCCUUUCAUCGAGCUUAUACGGUUAAGGAGAAAGAAAAAAGAAAAAGACAAACGAUCGAAAUGAUCGAUAUUGUUUAACGACAGAGCAAGAACAAGAAUGGAAACGAAAGAAUAAAAGAAGCCAAAAAGAAAAAAAAAAGAAGAAGUUAAAGUCGUUAUAUUUUUACAUCUGUGAGAAAGUUGAUCGAGAACAAUUUGAUAUAAAUUUAGAGAGAGAGAGAGAGAGAGAGAGAGUGAAAGAGAGAGAGAGAGAGAGAGAGAGAGAGUGAAAGAGAGAGAGAGAGAGAGAGAGAAUGGAAGAAAAGUCCUGUAAAGAGGAUUAUUAAAGAACAAUAAACAUCGGAGUCUACCUGCCGGGCAGGGCAAACGAGAAAAAAAAAAAAAAAAAAGAAACGCGAUAUUGGAAAUGAAACUGGCAGGCAGAUUUGCUCAAGGCUUCCAUAAAAGCUCUCGAUUGCGUCCCAUAUUCUGGCUGACUUCCUGGCAGUGGUGUGUCCGUGUUUGGCUUAGAUUGUAUUAAUAUGAACGUUAGGAUGUAAAAUGUGAAAAAAAAAAACGCUCGAGUGCCGAGUAAUACUAUAGUCUGUAAUGGCGUAGACUAAGUGAUUUAACCGACUUGCGUAACUUGCGCUGGAAUUAUUGUCGACCAGAGAGAAAGAGAGAGAGAGUGAGAGCGUGAGAGAGAGAGAGAGAGAGAGAGAGAAAGCGAGCGCAAGAGAGAGAUACACGGGAUUAACCCUUUAUAUCUGGAAUUAAGUAUCACUAUUAUUUUUGCGUCAUUAAAUGAUUUUCCACAUAUUGCAAAUAUAGGAAAAAAGAAAAGAAACUUUUUAGAUAAUCUAGUGUACACUUAGAGCCUUCUUUAUGCGAACGUCUAUUUAUCGAACAUCUUAAUUCAUUAAGAACCGAUCAAUAGUAGUUUAUCAUAGUGUUAACGAUAUCGAAAUUCCUUUCAAUUUUAUAUAUAUUUGUAGUGCCUGGCUAGGGAUAAGAUAAGAUAUUAAACGAAUUUUUGGAAUUCGAUUUACAUAACAAUAAUAAAUAUUAAAAAAGCAGACUCGGUAGUAAAAAAUAAUUGGAGAAAUGAAACAUUGCGUUUCAACGUAAUAUUGGCCCUUAAUGAGUUAAUAUUCGAACGUUACAUUGUCAGAGUAGAACGUUCGUUUCUGUUCUGGUAACAUAAUAUUCAAAUAUUGAGGCAUACGAAAAACGAACAUUCACAUAAGGGAGGAACUUCACUGUAUUAUGUUCAAGAUGAUGAAAACCAGGGAAACAAGUAUAAACGUAUAAAUAUCCUGCAAUUACGCCAUUUUCCAGCGAUUCACAAAUCAAAUGUUCAUUUUGCACGUCUUUUCGAGUACCACGAGGAGACGUUGUACUCACGUUUGAAGUGACAUAAGGGUUUAUAUAAAGUGGUACCAUCAGAAUAUAAAGGGUUAAGGAUGGGUACGAGCUUUUACGUCUUCGAGGACGUUCGUGUGUUUCUUGCACCUUAACAGGGUCCACAUUUAGUCAAAAAGAAAAAAAAAAAAAAAAAGAAAGAAAGAAAAAAAAGAAAAAAGUCGAGGAGAUAUCGAUUUUUCAUCCGUUCUUUUUCUACUGAUUCCAUUUGCCAUCACUUCACGUUAGAGUGUCUUUCAAUGGCGAAGAAAUCGAUUGUUCCGUUCGAAUGGUAUAUCUCGAGAGUGGCAUUCUCUUUGCGUUUUGAGGUUCUUUAAAUAUGGCAAAAUCUUGACCAUCAGAACGCCGACUAAUGGUACGAUUCGUUUUAUGUUCUUUUGUAAUAUUCAAAUUUUAUAUUGAAGUUUAAAAAAUUUCUAUAAACUUUUUAUAAAUUUCUACAUAUUAAAGAAUAAGUUAAUUUUGACCGCGUGAUUAUGGAUUUUUAUGCAAAUCCAUAGUCUCGAGAACAUAAUUAAAUGUCCUAUUACGCGGAUAAUUUAUAUAUUUUUCAUAUUACGUGCAUUUUCUGUAAUUUUAAUUUUGUAAAAAUUAAUUUUCUACAAAUACGUGAAAAUCCAUAGUUUGAUUAUUACAUUGAAAUAUGGAAAUUGUUUCUUGAAUAAGAACCACGUUUUGGUUUCGUAUUAAUCUGUAUGAAAUAAGUGAACAUUCUUUCGUACAAAAAAAUAUUCAAGUAUGUCACGAUUAGUUCGAAUAAUUAACACUAUAAGUAACAAAUUAAUUGAAAUCGUUUUUUUUAUCUUACUAAUUUUAAUUAAGAAACACGAUUGCGUGAUUAGUUGACUGUAUUACUCUAAUCAACAUAUUAAAGAUCGGCAGUUCUAACGUUAAUGUUCUACGUCGUCUUAUAAAAUUUUUGAACGAAGCAGUGAACCAUUUCGAUGCCAAAAAUAAUUCAGAUAUAAUAUACUAGAAAUAUUGAUAUCCAAUUUUAGUAAAAUCGCUAGCCUUAGGUAUAGAACUAUAACGACUGUAUUCCCUAGAGAAUAGAUAGUGGCAUAUGUAGCUACUUUUAUAGAGUUAGCCUACCAGUGAAAUUAAAACAGUGAUUCAUAGCUAGAAGUUAUAAAAAUUUCUCGUUCCGUUAGCUUUGCUAUAUCUUUAUAGAACAAUGUUUAUAAGUACGUAUAUAUACCUCAUGAAAAUAUGGUCUACGAUUACUGAACUCGUCUUACGGUUAGAUAUUUCAGUGGCAUCGUUAUGGUUGACAAAGUCUUAAAAAGCAAACAUUGAAAAAUGAUACAAGUCCGACGUUGAACUUGAAGUUAUUUUUAUAAGGAUUUUUAUUUCGACAAGAACAUGAUUCGAAAUCAAACUCAAUUGAAUAUCGCAGGGAGAGAACAUCGAGUAACUUUCAUCUGUUAAGGAUUUAUAAAAUAUAAAAUUACAUGGCGUUGAUGAUCAAUAAUCACUGAAAAUCACAUGAACGUCAUCGAUCACAAAGCGCUGAAAAUCACAUAACGCUGAAGUAAUAUCUCAGCAAUCGUGCCUAAACAUUUUAAUAUUUCAAGACCAAAGAAGAAAAAAAAGAAAAAAAAUACACGUUAGACGAAGAAGUAAAAAAAUUAAACUUAAAACUGACACUUAAAUAAUCAAAAAUAUCAAAAGUUGACACGGAAGAAUUAAAUUUAAAAAUUUCUCCUCUAUACUUCGUGACAUGCUUCUUUACAAGAAAAAUUCAAAAAAUUAAAAAAAAAGCGAUUUAUCAUGUUCUCUCUCUGCCGUACAUUCUACAACCUUGCUUCACAGUUACGUACAUACAUUCUUCGUCAUUGACAGACAUUUAGAACCAAAAAGAACACACCUUUUAGUCCGACGGCGUGCUCGUGCAUGGACCCGAAGUCAUUGUAAAUAGUGUAAAUGCACAUUAGUGUAAAACGCUAUCAUAAAGACAAAAAAAAAAAGAAAAAAAUAAGAGGAGAAGGAAGAAGAAGAAGAAGAAGAAGAAGAAGAAGAAGAAGAAGAGAAGAGGCCGGACGUUCUGCCGGAACGUCGAAGAAUUUAUCGAACGAUUUAUAUUUCCGAACAACUUAUGGUAUAUUUUCUCCGUAGACGUGUACGCGUACCUAGCGUUUUAAAUGUAAGACGAACCUUGUGUAAUCGUAGAACGGGAUUCGAUCGAGGAUCGAACGACCCCGUAAAAUUCGUAGUGAAUUUGUGACUUUUUUCCCCUCCCCCCUCCUCCCAGUUCACCGCCCUCCCCCAUUCUUCCAUGUUUAUUAUUCUUAUAAUUACGAAGUUAAUCAGACAGGAGUGUCAGUCGUGUUAAUUAGACGAUAUCGAUAGUAGUUAUUAAGUAGAUGUUCAUCGAUACUUAUUUACCGUGGCGAGGAAACGUGUAACGACAGAAUGUUCCAGGAUUCCACGAGUUUCGUGGGCCACUGGUGUUUGAACGUUAUUGAAACUAUAAAGAACCGGGACAUUACCCGCAUUAGAGAUUCUUUUUGUAACAUAAAGUGAAAUAUAAUCAUUUGUAACACGA